rnacentral:tRNA from 1 species
AUUUAUUUAGUAUAUAAAGUACAUUUGACUUCCAAUUAAAAAGUCUAUUAAUAGAAUAAAU